GACGAACGCUGGCGGCGUGCUUAACACAUGCAAGUCAAACGGAAAGGCCCUGCUUUUGUGGGGUGCUCGAGUGGCGAACGGGUGAGUAACACGUGAGUAACCUGCCCUUGACUUUGGGAUAACUUCAGGAAACUGGGGCUAAUACCGGAUAGGAGCUCCUGCUGCAUGGUGGGGGUUGGAAAGUUUCGGCGGUUGGGGAUGGACUCGCGGCUAUCAGCUUGUUGGUGGGGUAGUGGCUUUCCAAGGCUUUGACGGGUAGCCGGCCUGAGAGGGUGACCGGCCACAUUGGGACUGAGAUACGGCCCAGACUCCUACGGGAGGCAGCAGUGGGGAAUAUUGCACAAUGGGCGGAAGCCUGAUGCAGCAACGCCGCGUGCGGGAUGACGGCCUUCGGGUUGUAAACCGCUUUCGCCUGUGACGAAGCGUGAGUGACGGUAAUGGGUAAAGAAGCACCGGCUAACUACGUG
rnacentral:rRNA from 1 species